ensembl:lncRNA
GUGCAAGAUUCCCAGCCAUGUCAGUAACUCACAGAACUCACAGCAGUUUGGACCAAUCUGAAUCUAAAACUCACAUUCCUGGCUCUGAAGUUCCACCUACUCCUUUGCGCAGUUAGCUGUGAAAUAACUGAGCUGAAAAGUGGUUGGUUGUCAGCCAGAUCAUUUAUCUAGCACACACUCAUUACAUGACAGUAAAUUGCAAUGGAAAUACCUUAAGUUUGAAAGGAGACAGUAGUAUGAGGUAAUCGUAUCUGUAUUUGUCAAUUAGGAUAAUGAGGUAUGAGCUAGGAGAGAAGGGAGGAGAGAAAUUAUAGCAGAGUUCACUGGUGUUCUUGCAGACAUGGGUAAGAAACACAAGGGAAGCUAUUGCUGGGCCAGGCUGAAGCAGCAACUGGGGAAACAGCAAUAGGUGAGAAUAAUUGCAAAAGCUAAGGAAAGAGGAAAGCUAGCUAUGCUAAAAGUGUCUGGAGACAAAAGAGUUUGGUUUAAGUUGUGUUAAGAAGCUUUUAGAUGAGUAGAGGAAGCAAAACUGUGUUUGAAGUGAAUUUAGGGUGCAGCCAGACAGGAGAUGUGGUUGGAAGACUUACAAACAUGAGAUGAGAGGAGGCACUUCUAAGGAAGGAUCAUAUUAAAUUAAUUGAUUGAUGUACAAGAGGCUGAAGUGCAUCUGUGUGGGUGCUGAGGGGUCAGAGCAGAGUGUAUGACAACAGCUUGUGAACAUAUAAAAGAAUGGGCUUGGGGGUGAUCAGGAAAUAAAAUGGAAGAAGGUCAGUAGAGCAAGUGAUGGAGUUACAGAGGAUGUGUAGAUAAGAAGUUUGUUAUUACUUGGAGUCUUGUGGAAAUAAUAACAUCUUUCAAGAAAAUUGUGAGAUAGCAAAUACAUGAAAGCAGAAAUGAAGGCUUGAAUUGGGUUAGUCAGAAGCAAUAAAAAGUUAGCUAGGAAUACAGGCAUGUAGGCAAGCUGCAGCAGAAUUGUUUAGCGGUAAGAAAUGGAGGAGGGAGAAGGCUUGCAGGAGCGGAAGUGAGCUUGGUCACAGGAUUUCCGUCAAAGACACUUCGCACUGCAAAAGCAAGCACGGAUGAAGCAGGUUCUGGAGCUCAUAAUAACAUCCCUGGGUUACAGAAGUUGGAGACCAUGCUUCAAACCAGCCUUUGUGUUAUUAGAAACAGCUUUUCAAGCGCUACAAAGAUAACAUGUGUACAAUAACAAUAUCAACACGGGGCUAAAGGAAAUGCUUCUGGAAACAGCAAGGAGGAGAAAUUCUGACACAGAAGGAUGGGGGAAGGAGCGAAGUGCACAGGACGCUGCUCGUGGGGAAGCUUCAGCAGAUAAGGAUGCACAGACGGAUAUUGAUAUAUUUUUUUUUUCCUAUCUUGGCUAACUGGGAGCAAAAUGCACACACCAAAGAAAUUGCAAGAGAUUAAAGUCGACAGUAUUUUGUGAGGAUAUUAAUUUCAACAUUUCUUAUGUAAUCAUCUGAAAUAUUCACUGGGGCCGAGGAGGCUUUUGAGCUGCCAAACCUAGGCUCAGCAUUGUAAGCACUUACUUUGCAAACAGCUCUUGCCAAAUUAAUCCUGAGCUAAAAGAAAAAGUAGAUGAACUCCCAAAUUUUUCUAGGAAUUCAUUUCUCAUAAAACACAUCUUUCCCUUAUCUGUGAGUAGUUGCUGCGUUUACAAUACCUUCAAAUCAACUGUUGGUUAAGCUGUCUCUGUUAGAGAAGCCAACAUCAUAUGCCUGUAUUAGCAAAGUCAGUCUAUAUCUGAAUUGUUCAAGCCUCGAGCAUUUUUGUCUCUCGGAGCCUCUGUGUUUUGGGGUAUGAGGAAAACAAACAAUUUCAACCUUUGAUUUGUAAACAUGCUUCAAACCGUCAGGAAUGAGGCUACUGUGAUUUUGUUUCUAAUUUCUAUUUGUACAUUGUUUACAUUUCUUAUGGAAAGUAUGGUUAAGGCAGAGUGGGUCUUUCUUACACAAAAGCCUGCUUUGGCAGGAAACUUCCAUUUCUUCUGAUGGCCAUUACUAUGCAACGUUACAUCUAUUGCUCUCUGAGCGUUUUGCCUUGUGUCCUUUCUCCUUUGCAUCAACUUUCAGCCUGUUUUCAAUAAAAAGAAAUGAAGC